AAAAAAGACCAUAUCACCAAGCAGCCCAAGACCGGUUACUCACUGAGGCUAAGCAGGGCUGAGCCUGGUCAGUGCCUGGAUAGGAGACCACUUGGGAAAACCAAGGUUGCUGUUG
rnacentral:rRNA from 1 species